rnacentral:rRNA from 1 species
UACGAAGGGGGCUAGCGUUGCUCGGAAUUACUGGGCGUAAAGGGCGCGUAGGCGGACAGUUAAGUUGGGGGUGAAAGCCCGGGGCUCAACCUCGGAAUUGCCUUCAAUACUGGCUGUCUUGAGUACGGGAGAGGUGUGUGGAACUCCGAGUGUAGAGGUGAAAUUCGUAGAUAUUCGGAAGAACACCAGUGGCGAAGGCGACACACUGGCCCGUUACUGACGCUGAGGCGCGAAAGCGUGGGGAGCAAACAGG